rnacentral:tRNA from 1 species
GAGGAUAUAGCUCAGAGGUAGAGCACGUGCUUUACAUGCGUGAGGUCCUGAGGUCUUGGGUUCGAUCCCCAGUAACUCCA